rnacentral:tRNA from 1 species
CGAGAGAUGCCUGAGCGGUUAUAGGAGCGGCCUCAUAAGCCGUGGCAGAAAUGUCUCACUGGUUCGAAUCCAGUUCUCUCGACCA